AUUGCCACCAACGGUGCAUGAGUGAUCUUUUUUCUUCACAUAAGAUGAGCUCUUGUCCAUGAGUGAAGAAGAGGCACUUAAUCAAAGACGUUGGUGUCAGCAUUCAAGAUAAAUUAUGCAUGAGAAUGUUGACUGGGAAAUUUCUUAAGGAAUAUGACAAAAAGCUAAUGGAAUGUUAAAGGCUGGAGGAAGGGAUAUGGAUUUAACUUGAACAGCUGUGGUCAGAAUCCUCUUGCAAAGACAAAUUAUAGAAUUAUGAGAUCUCAGAGCUAAGAGAAUCUUAAAACCCACUUAUUUCCAUUCUUUUUACUCUGUGGAUGAAGAUACCAAGAUUCAAAUAAUUUCCACACAGCUUCUAUAAUGUGAAAAUAUUCUUUUAGCCUU